rnacentral:misc_RNA from 1 species
UGUUGCAGUGACAUUCAGCACCCGUCCGCCGUUGGCGAGAAUUCUGUCUCCGGCGGCCUUGGUGCCGGCAUGGAAGAUUUCGACGCCUUCGAUCUUCGCAGCAUCACCGAGACCUUCGAUGACCGUGCCUUUGACAUAGUCGCCGGGAUAGCCCUUCGCGGCCAUCACAACGGUGAGCGCGGGCUCGGGAUACCAGCGCAGGUCGAAAUGCUUCAAUUCACCUUCGACCGAGGCGAGCAGCGCCGGCACGAGGUCCGACNNNNNNNNNNNNCGGGAUCGCCGAAGCGCGCAUUGUAUUCGAUCAGCUUCGGGCCAUCCCUGGUGAUAAUCAG